rnacentral:rRNA from 1 species
UACGUAGGGGGCAAGCGUUGUCCGGAAUCAUUGGGCGUAAAGCGCGCGUAGGUGGUCCCGUAAGUCCGCUGUGAAAGUCAAAGGCUCAACCUUUGAAAGCCGGUGGAUACUGGUGGGACUAGAGUACGGAAGAGGCGAGUGGAAUCCUGGUGUAGCGGUGGAAUGCGCAGAUAUCAGGAGGAACACCAAUAGCGAAGGCAGCUCGCUGGGACGUAUGACACUGAGGCGCGGAAAGCGUGGGAGGCGAACAGGAUAGACGUAC